CGCUAACUGAGAAAAUCCAACCUCCACUCCCCCACCAUGGACACUCCAUAAAAUACAAAGCAGAGCCAUAGCCAUACAAAAAUCACCCACCAAAUUCUCUCAUCGGGAGCUUAUGAUGAACCAUCAUUACUUUGUAUCGCCGGCGAAAUCCUCCCAGAAACCUUGGUGCUCAGGUUGUGUGGAGAGCAGGAGUACAAAGAAGCGUGAUGGUAAUUAAUACUAGAACUCCUAAUGAACAGAGAUAAUCUAAUGGCGUCUGCAAGCCUAGGAAAUGGGGGAGUUGGCAGUUCUAGGUCUAUCAAUGGCUUCAAGGGUUCAUCUAGUUCAGUGGACUGGCUUGGGAGAGAGAUGCUUGAGAUGAGACUGCGGGAUAAGACAGAUACCGAUGAGGACAGAGAUAGCGAGCCAGAUAUCAUUGAUGGAGUGGGUGCUGAAGCAGGG
rnacentral:misc_RNA from 1 species